UACGUAGGGUGCAAGCGUUGUCCGGAAUUAUUGGGCGUAAAGAGCUCGUAGGCGGUUUGUCGCGUCUGCUGUGAAAACCCGAGGCUCAACCUCGGGCCUGCAGUGGGUACGGGCAGACUGGAGUGCGGUAGGGGAGAUUGGAAUUCCUGGUGUAGCGGUGGAAUGCGCAGAUAUCAGGAGGAACACCAAUGGCGAAGGCAGAUCUCUGGGCCGUAACUGACGCUGAGGAGCGAAAGCAUGGGGAGCGAACAGG
rnacentral:rRNA from 1 species